ACUUAAGCAUAUCAAUAAGCGGAGGAAAAGAAACCAACAGGGAUUGCCCCAGUAACGGCGAGUGAAGCGGCAACAGCUCAAAUUUGAAAUCUGGCCUCGGCCCGAGUUGUAAUUUGCAGAGGAUGCUUUUGGCGCGGCGCCUCCCGAGUCCCCUGGAACGGGGCGCCACAGAGGGUGAGAGCCCCGUAUGGUAGGACGCCUAGCCUGUGUAAAGCUCCUUCGACGAGUCGAGUAGUUUGGGAAUGCUGCUCAAAAUGGGAGGUAAAUUCCUUCUAAAGCUAAAUACCGGCCAGAGACCGAUAGCGCACAAGUAGAGUGAUCGAAAGAUGAAAAGCACUUUGAAAAGAGGGUCAAACAGCACGUGAAAUUGUUGAAAGGGAAGCGCUCGUGACCAGACUUGCGCCGGGUCGAUCAUCCGGUGUUCUCACCGGUGCACUCGGCCCGGCUCAGGCCAGCAUCGGUUUUCGCGGGGGGAUAAAAGCCCGGGGAACGUGGCUCUUCCGGGAGUGUUAUAGCCCCGGGCACAAUACCCUCGCGGGGACCGAGGACCGCGCUCUGCAAGGAUGCUGGCGUAAUGGUCACCAGCGACCCGUCUUGAAACACGGACCAAGGAGUCAAGGUUUUGCGCGAGUGUCUGGGUGUGAAACCCGCACGCGUAAUGAAAGUGAACGUAGGUGAGAGCUUCGGCGCAUCAUCGACCGAUCCUGAUGUUCUCGGAUGGAUUUGAGUAAGAGCGUAAUGCCUUGGACCCGAAAGAUGGUGAACUAUGCCUGGAUAGGGUGAAGCCAGAGGAAACUCUGGUGGAGGCUCGCAGCGGUUCUGACGUGCAAAUCGAUCGUCAAAUCAGGGCAUGGGGGCGAAAGACUAAUCGAACCAUCUAGUAGCUGGUUACCGCCGAAGUUUCCCUCAGGAUAGCAG
rnacentral:rRNA from 1 species